rnacentral:piRNA from 1 species
UGGCAGUAAAACUGUUUUGGACAGAGAGU